AGAGACUAUGGGCGAUGGGUCGGGUUACGAGGUAGUUGGCAUGCGUUGUCCGGAGUAGUGGGGGGGGAGGCGAGGGCAGGCGGUCUGCUACGUGUGGGGGGAAAACCGGGGGCUCAAACGCAGGGCUGCCUUUGAUACGGGAAGACUUGAGGAUCGGAGAGGCAAGGGGAAUUCCACGUGUAGCGGUGAAAUGCGUAGAGAUGUGGAGGAACACCUGUGGCGAAGGCGCCUUGCUGGCCGAUUUCUGACGCUGAGGCGCGAAAGCGUGGGGAGCAAACAGGAUUAGAUACCCGAGUAGUC
rnacentral:rRNA from 1 species